AGUUAAUAACUCAUUCAUCGUCUCCUAAUUUCGUCUACGCAGGAAGCUUCUGCUCUUCCCGGACGCCCAGCCCGACGCCGCCUCCCUCCACCUCCUCCAUCGGCGACACCCAACGGCCGGUGGCCAUCUCCUCUCCUUCACCGCCGCCGUCCGGCCGAACCUCUUUCCCAUCUUCCUCUCCACUCCAUCAACUCCUUCACCGCCGAUUUUCCCCUUCUUCCUCCUCACGCCAUCGCCAAACGGAGUUGCUUCCCCUCAACUGAUCUGCACCUCAUCGGCACAUCCACAUCUCUUCUUCGGGUUAGCAUCCUCAACCGGGUUAGGAAGAGGCUCCAUCUCCUUUCCUUCCACCUCUCUUCUUCGGGUUAGAAGAAGAGAGCCCAUCCGUCAGAAGCUUCUCCGGCCAUCUUCAUUCCUCUUCACCUCCAGCCGCCUCGGUUAGAAGAGAGGCAGCCCCAUUUCCUCUUCUGGCAGCCCUCCUCUUCGGGUUAGAAGAGGAGGUUUUGUUCUCCGCUCCGAUCCACAUUUGCAGCCGCUACAUCCGAAGAUCCAUCCGCAAUUGCCGUCUAUCUGCAAACUUGGGUAAUUUGGUCAAUAUUGUAAUUCCGCGUCCCGGACCGAACAGAGAGCCAAUCCCCGGUGUUGGAAAGGACAAUGAAUGCAAGCAUGGUUGUGGUGGCAUCAUUGAGUUCAUAUUACUUACUUUCACAUGUACUAUUUGUUUUCUUCUUGUGUUUUCAAUAAA